AUUGAACGCUGGCGGCAGGCCUAACACAUGCAAGUCGAACGAGUGGCGGACGGGUGAGUAAUGUCUGGGAAACUGCCCGAUGGAGGGGGAUAACUACUGGAAACGGUAGCUAAUACCGCAUACCAUCGGAUGUGCCCAGAGGGGAUUAGCUAGUAGGGGGGGUAACGGCUCACCUAGGCGACGAUCCCUAGCGGGUCUGAGAGGAUGACCAGCCACACUGGAACUGUGACACUGUCCUGACUCCUACGUGAGGAAGCAGUGGGGAAUAUUGGAAAAUGGGCGAAAGCCUGAUGGAGCCAUGCCGCGUGUAUGAAGAAGGCAUGCGGGUUUUAAAGUACGUUCAGAGAGGCGGCGGUACUCGCAGAAGAAGCACCGGCUAACUCCGUGCCAGCCGCCGCGGUAAUAC
rnacentral:rRNA from 1 species